AUUGAACGCUGGCGGCAGGCUUAACACAUGCAAGUCGAGCGGGGGAAGGUAGCUUGCUACCGGACCUAGCGGCGGACGGGUGAGUAAUGCUUAGGAAUCUGCCUAUUAGUGGGGGACAACAUCUCGAAAGGGAUGCUAAUACCGCAUAAGCCCUUCGGGGGAAAGCGGGGGUCGCAAGACCUCGCGCCGAUGGACGAGCCGAAGUCGGAUUAGCUAGUUGGUAGGGUAACGGCCUACCAAGGCGACGAUCCGUAGCUGGUCUGAGAGGACGACCAGCCACACUGGGACUGAGACACGGCCCAGACUCCUACGGGAGGCAGCAGUGGGGAAUAUUGGACAAUGGGGGCAACCCUGAUCCAGCGACGCCGCGUGUGUGAAGAAGGCCUGCGGGUUGUAAAGCACUUUUAGUGGGGAUGAAAAGUACAUCGCUAAUACCGGUGUAUCUUGACCUAACCCAAAGAAGAAGCACCGGCUAACUCUGUGCCAGCAGCCGCCGUAA
rnacentral:rRNA from 1 species